AUGAACGCUGGCGGCGUGCUUAACACCUGCAAGUCGCACGAUGAAGCCCAGCUUGCUGGGUGGAUUAGUGGCGAACGGGUGAGUAACACGUGAGUAACCUGCCCUUGACUCUGGGAUAAGCCUGGGAAACUGGGUCUAAUACUGGAUAUGACUUCUCAUCGCAUGGUGGGGGGUGGAGAGAUUUAUUGGUCUUGGAUGGACUCGCGGCCUAUCAGCUUGUUGGUGAGGUAAUGGCUCACCAAGGCGACGACGGGUAGCCGGCCUGAGAGGGUGACCGGCCACACUGGGACUGAGACACGGCCCAGACUCCUACGGGAGGCAGCAGUGGGGAAUAUUGCACAAUGGGCGCAAGCCUGAUGCAGCGACGCCGCGUGAGGGAUGACGGCCUUCGGGUUGUAAACCUCUUUCAGUAGGGAAGAAGCGAGAGUGACGGUACCUGCAGAAGAAGCGCCGGCUAACUACGUG
rnacentral:rRNA from 1 species